UACAGGGGGGAGUAUACUCAUACAGACAAUAUGGUGGGGGGGCGCCGUGCCCACCCCGCUCCCUACUGACGACGACUGCUUGCACUCCUACAGUACAGGGGGGAGUAUACUCAUACAGACAAUAUGGUGGGGGGGCGCCGUGCCCACCCCGCUCCCUACUGACGACGACUGCUUGCACUCCUACAGUACAGGGGGGAGGUAUACUCAUACAGACAAUAUGGUGGGGGGGCGCCGUGCCCACCCCGCUCCCUACUGACGACGACUGCUUGCACUCCUACAGUACAGGGGGGAGGUAUACUCAUACAGACAAUAUGGUGGGGGGGCGCCGUGCCCACCCCGCUCCCUACUGACGACGACUGCUUGCACUCCUACAGUACAGGGGGGAGGUAUACUUAUACAGACCAUA